rnacentral:lncRNA from 1 species
AUUACAGAUAUUAGAAAUAAUUUUAUAUACUCAGGCAAGGAGAAGAAAGCUAUUUAAGAUUGUCCAGAAAUACUUUGGAAAAAAGGUGACAGUAGAAAUACAAAUUAAUCUUAUCACUUGGAAGAUUCUUGCCUUCCAUAAUUAUGAAGACUUCAUCUGGUAGGAAUGUUUGGCUAUUUAAUAUUUGUUAAAUAUAGUAAUAGAACUUAAGUGAUUUUUAAUGUAGCCCAAAGGAUGUUUAUGUAAGUUCUAUAGGUUAUUGCUAAUAUUGUUUUGAAUAUGAAUGAAUAAUGAACUAUAGGAAGUGGUAUCUAAUGAUAGGAAAAUGGCAUUAGGUUUUAAAAAAUUAUUUUCAUAGCUUGAUAAAUUAUGGAUCUGUGUGUAUGUGAUAUUGUGCCAGAUUCUGUCAGGGUUAGAAAUAUUAUAAAUAAGAUAUAAGUCUUCAUUCAAAGACUAAAGUAUGGUGAGGGAGACCUGUACCCAAAUAACUAUUAUGAUUAAGUGUGAAUUUAAUUCCUUAUAGCCAAUAUCACCAGAAGUGAUUAGAGACCUAAUUUAUGUGUAAACAUUUGUGUCCUUUUGUGUCCAAUUAGGUUUUAUGGACAUGAAAAAGAAUUAUAGAAAAUUUAAUGUUUAUAGAACUCCAAAGUUCCUGGAAUUGGAUAAUAUAUUUUCUAUUAGAAAAACAAAAUGAUAGAAACUUUAAAAAAUUAUUCACUAUAUUAUCAAGGCUCUGGCUAGCACUGAAGGAAAUAUAUGUACAUAAAAUGUUGUGUUUGUUUUCAAUUUUGGUGUUGGAUUUCUGGUAUUGUCACCUAAGUGCUCAUUUUCAGGAAAAUCAGAUUCUACAGCAAAUAUACUGCUUAAAAGUUCAAUAAACUUGUGAUAACCUCUAUAACCUCUGUAGUCUGAAAGUUAAGAAAUUAUAAGAUGUCACAUGUCAAGUUAACAUCCAGUUCUACUUCUUAACCUUUUUUUUUUCCUUUGUAAAACAGCACUUUAAUUAGACAUAAUUUAAUUAGAUAUAUUCUGUGGCUGGAUACAUAUUGGAUUUUCACUUAUAGUAUAUUGAUUCAGUGUUGAUACACAUUUGAAAAGAGUGCAAAAUACAGUUAAGUUUUAAAUACUAUAGGUUUACAAGUUUCUUACUGGUGUGAAUAUGGAGUCAAUAAAAAAUCCAGUUUACAUCUCUGUAGAGAGAAAAAUUGUUAUCCAUAUGUCUUUUAUAUUAUGCAUACUUAACUAGAGAUAAUUUAUUGUUAAUUUUGUCAAGUUAUCAUGUGUAAGUCCCGUUUAUUUUAAAAUACUAAGCAAAAAGUUCCAAGUUU